AAAUAACCUAACCUAACCUAGUUCACUAAUGUUUACUGUGGGUGGCAAACUGGGCCAAUGAUUGGGCCUUGUCUCAGGUGAACUACUCGAAGAGGUGCCAAAUUAGCCACAAAAAUUUAGAAAUUAGACUUCGGAAGUACAUCAAGAAGUUGAAAAAGAAUUAAAAUACUUUCGAGUACUCCGGAUGAAUUAAGCGAAGAAUUCAUAAUACUAAUUUUUUUUUAAAGCGCUGAGGUUUCGCAGCACUGGAUGUUUCUAACAUCAAAAUUUAAUCUUCGAACAAACGUGUUGAAUUUUAGCUCGUUGCAAUGGCUCAACUAGCCUAGAUAGCACCAUGGCGCAGACGUUAAUAUUCUCUACUAUCAAUUGUUUAUUAGCAAAGCAACAAAUCAUGUUUUUGGCAUAGAUUUAGUCAAGAUUUAGAGAUCUUGUCUAAAUCUACGCCAAACAUUAAUUUUGUUGCUUUGCUAAUUUUAUGUUUCACUUUGGUGUGUUUCUCUUUUCUUGGGCUGAAGAUUUUACUUCACCAUAACAAACUUUGGUAAAGUCUAUUGAGUUUAUAUAAACUAUAUAAUAUCGAUAUCAAUACUAUACAGUAUCGCAACAGCCUAUUUUUGUUGCCAACGCAUGACGAAAUGCUAUAAUUGGCUAGAUCUUCUGCACUUUCAAUACACCUUUCCUUGGAGAACCAUGAUCGCUGCGUGGAGCCCGCGAGGCAGCAUAUCAGUUGAUCCGGAACAAAUCUCACCACCUGUACACUCUCAACUUAUAACUGAUUUUGGAACUAUUUUUGUCGCAACCCACAUAAGGCAUAAAGGCCGACUAGAAUAGCGUUGAAGGAUCUAAAUGAAGGUAUUUACCGAUAAAGUGUUCCAUUAUUAUCAAGUUUUUGCUUCACUUUUGAGUAAAAUUUGUUGUCGAACGAUAACCAUGGUGCGAGGUUGUAUUGAUACUUAUUUUGGGACGGAACUGUAUAGUUAGUUUUGUGAUGGUUAUUUCUGGAUUACACUGCUGGAUGGAUUAAAUGAGUUUUCUGUCAGCCUGUUUCAUUAAUUGUUAUGUCUGGAAUACGAUUGUAUCUAAGUCGGUGCUGUGACAAGAAGAGCUGUGGAAACAGAAAUGAAACACCCUCCGAUCCCGUGAUAAUUGACAGAUUAUCAAGAUAUGCAUUGAAGCACACCUGAACUUGCUCUCACUUGCCACUAAAUGCUUAGAAUUAAUUGAGAAUGUAUUAACAGGGAUUCAAGUUUGCCGUCUCUCAAACUUGUAGUCAAAAGACUAUUUGUAAUCUCAUAAUGUAAU